CUUCUGCUCUCAGGUGACUGAUUCACUUCAAGCCCUGUCCUCCUGACUUCCAUUUGAUACACAGACAAAGAAGAUUCAAUUUGCUUCGCCAGACGGUCUCACGAAAGAAUAACUCUGGUCCACAAGCAAGAAAGCAUUCCAGGAUGGAGCGUGUGUCUGGAAGCCCUGUCCGUUAGUUAACAUUUAUACAUGCAUUUAAGAAACCAGAGUCAUAUUCCAACCAUGGAACUACUUACAUUCAACCUGGUGCAUAUCACGUGACUGUUCUGAUGUGUUUUUUCAGAUCAGUAGACAUCACUGCCUCCACCACCUGCAUCAACUUUUCCUGACAAGCCUUAGAGGUUCGACAGGAGGUACUGCCAUCCGUCGCAUGCUACGGCGAGUGGCAACCAAUGACGUUUCUAAAUCAGUAUAGCCUGUGGGGCAGAAAGGCAAAAAAGGCCUUCCAGGACCUGACAAUCUGCAGGGUUAUAACAUGCAGGUGUUAUUUAAUUGUUCACAUUUUAUUUUUUAUUAAAGCAAUUGUAUUUGUGCCACUUUGGCCAUUCACCUACACAUUACAUACUUCAUCAUUCCAAUAUGCAUCUUGCACACUACGUUUGCACUAUUUAUUUGCACUACAUCCUUUUAUCUUUUUUGUAAUAUAUAUAUGCCUGU